AGUGAACGCUGGCGGUAGGCCUAACACAUGCCAGUCGAACGGCAGCACAGUAAGAGCUUGCUCUUACGGGUGGCGAGUGGCGGACGGGUGAGGCAUACAUCGGAAUCUACUUUUUCGUGGGGGAUAACGUAGGGAAACUUACGCUAAUACCGCAUACGACCUACGGGUGAAAGCAGGGGAUCUUCGGACCUUGCGCGAUUCAAUGAGCCGAUGUCGGAUUAGCUAGUUGGCGGGGUAAAGGCCCACCAAGGCGACGAUACGUAGCUGGUCUGAGAGGAUGAUCAGCCACACUGGAACUGAGACACGGUCCAGACUCCUACGGGAGGCAGCAGUAGGGAAUAUUGGACAAUGGGCGCAAGCCUGAUCCAGCCAUACCGCGUGAGUGAAGAAGGCCUUCGGGUUGUAAAGCCCUUUUGUUGGGAAAGAAAAGCAGCAGGUUAAUACCCCGCUGUUCUGACGGUACCCAAAGAAUAAGCACCGGCUAACUUCGUG
rnacentral:rRNA from 1 species